AAUAUGGAUGUCCCCAACAUUAAAAGGAAUGAUUUCCAGCUGAUUGGCAUCCAGGAUGGGUACCUAUCCCUGCUCCAGGACAGUGGGGAGGUACGAGAGGACCUUGGUCUGCCUGAGGGAGACCUUGGCAAGGAGAUUGAGCAGAAGUAUGACUGUAGAGAAGAGAUCCUGAUCACGGUGCUGUCUGCCAUGACAGAGGAGGCAGCUGUUGCAGUCAAGGCCAUGGCAAAAUAACUAGGAAGAGCGUGUGUA